GUUGUAUUUGGAACUCACCCACAUUAGGAAUCCAUAAAGAUUUGAGAAAACACACGGAAGAGAUUUUUAAUAUGCACCAAGAACCUCAUUCUUAAGAAACCUUACUAUGUGUUUAAUGGAGGUGUUUAAAUUAUCCACGGUAGGUAAAAACGGGGAGGUGUUGAAAAGGAGAGGCAAACAGGUUAAAUUUACAAGGUACUACCAUUGAGAAAA
rnacentral:misc_RNA from 1 species